rnacentral:ribozyme from 13 species
CUUUUUUUUUUUUUUUUUUUUUUUUCCUUUUG